rnacentral:tRNA from 1 species
GCCUGGGUGGCUCAGUGAGUAGAGCAGCUGACUUCAGCUCAGGUCUUGAUCUCACUGUUCAUGGGUUCAACCCCGCAUCAGGCU